AUUGAACGCUGGCGGCAUGCCUUACACAUGCAAGUCGAACGAGUGGCGAACGGGUGAGUAAUACAUCGGAACGUGCCCUGUAGUGGGGGAUAACUAGUCGAAAGAUUAGCUAAUACCGCAUACUAUAGGAGCGGCCGAUGUCUGAUUAGCUAGUUGGUGGGGUACAGGCCCACCAAGGCGACGAUCAGUAGAUGGUCUGAGAGGACGAUCAGCCACACUGUGACUGAGACACGGCCCAGACUCCUACGGGAGGCAGCAGUGGGGAAUUUUGGACAAUGGGGGCAACCCUGAUCCAGCAAUGCCGCGUGUGUGAAGAAGGCCUUCGGGUUGUAAAGCACUGUUGUCCGGAAAGCGGUACCGGAAGAAUAAGGACCGGCUAACUACGUGCCAGCAGCCGCGGUAAUUC
rnacentral:rRNA from 1 species